rnacentral:rRNA from 1 species
CCCUUAGAUGUUCUGGGCCGCACGCGUGCUACACUGAGCGGAUCAGCGGGUCAGGUUGCGCGAAAGUGUUUCCUAAUCUUGAAAUCCGCUCGUGAUGGGGAUUGACGGUUGCAAUUUUCCGUCAUGAACGAGGAAUACCUUGUAAGCGCGGGUCAUCAUCCCGCGCUGAAUACGUCCCUGCCCUUUGUACACACCGCCCGUCGCUCCUACCGAUUGAGUGGUCCGGUGAGGCUUUGGGAUCUGAGCGGAAAGAGCGUUUCGCUGUUUCUGCUCGGAAAACUCAGUCGAACCUUAUCAUUUAGAGGAAGGAGAAGUCGUAACA